GAUGAACGCUGGCGGCGUGCCUAAUACAUGCAAGUCGAGCGAACGGACGAGAAGCUUGCUUCUCUGAUGUUAGCGGCGGACGGGUGAGUAACACGUGGAUAACCUCCCAAUAAGCUGGGGUUAACUUCGGGAAACCGGAGUUAAUACCGGAUAAUAUUUUGACCCCCAGGGUUCAAAAGUGAAAGACGGUCUUGUUGUCACUUUUAGAUGGUUCCGCGCUGCAUAAGCUAGUUGGUAAGGUAACGGCUUACCAAGGCAACGAUGCAUAGCCGACCUGAGAGGGUGAUCGGCCACACUGGAACUGAGACACGGUCCAGACUCCUACGGGAGGCAGCAGUAGGGAAUCUUCCGCAAUGGGCGGAAGCCUGACGGAGCAACGCCGCGUGAGUGAUGAAGGUCUUCGGAUCGUAAAACUCUGUUAUUAGGGAAGAACAUAUGUGUAAGUAACUGUGCACAUCUUGACGGUACCUAAUCAGAAAGCCACGGCUAACUACGUG
rnacentral:rRNA from 1 species